CUGGUUGAUCCUGCCAGUUGUCAUAUGCUUGUCUCAAAGAUUAAGCCAUGCAUGUCUCAGUACAGACUGAACUAAAGUGAAACCGCAAAUGGCUCAUUAAAUCAGUCACAAUUCCUUAGAUGGUGAUAAAUUCCUCGGAUAACUGUGGAAAAUCCAGAGCUAAUACGUGCAACAGAGCUCCGACGCGGGCGAGAGUCUGCGGAGGAGCGCAUUUAUUAGAUUCAAAACCGACCGUGGUACUCCUUCGGGAUGCUACGCUUGUCAAAUUUGAUGACUCCGGAUAACUAAGCCGAGCGCUACGGUCUUUGUACCGGCGCCGCAUCUUUCAAGUGUCUGCCUUAUCAGCUUUCGAUUGUAGGUUAAACGCCUACAAUGGCUGUAACGGGUAACGGGGAAUCAGGGUUCGAUUCCGGAGAGGGAGCCUGAGAAACGGCUACCACAUCUAAGGAAGGCAGCAGGCACGCAAAUUACCCAUUCCCAGCUCGGGGAGGUAGUGACGAAAAAUAACGAUGUGAGACUCUUCCGAGGCCUCACAAUCGGAAUGAGUUCAGUUUAAACAAUUGGACGAGGAUCCAAUGGAGGGCAAGUCUGGUGCCAGCAGCCGCGGUAAUUCCAGCUCCAUGAGCAUAUACGAAUGCUGCUUCGGUUAAAAAGCUCGUAGUUGGAUCUCUUAGAUCCGACUUGUGUAUGGAGUGGUUUCAUAGGCGUCCUUGUGGUGCACUUGACGGAGCCUUUACUGCUGCCCUACUUCUUACUCUUGGCGUUGCCUGUGUCAGUUGUGUGGUUGUUGGUGCGUGUCUUAUGAUGCGUGUCCUGCACUGCUCGCUGGUUCUAGGUUUUCGUUGGGGUUUGAGGUCGCGUUUCUGUGGUAUUGUGCCGAGUUUUGCUGCGUCGCUUGUCUGAUGGCCGUGUUACAUAGCUCCUACAUAGUAGGCAAAUUACGAAUUAGUCGGCUCACUCGGAGUGCUCUUUACCGAGUGUUCUAGGGUGGCCGACACGUUCACUUUGAAAAAAUUAGAGUGCUCAAAGCAGGCUAGAAUUCAGCCGGCAUGUUGUUGCAUGGAAUGAAGGAAGAGGACCUCGGUUCUGCUUCGUUUGGUCGGUUUUAAUGAACCGAGGUAAUGAUUAACAGGAACAGACGGUGGCAUUAGUAUUGCGACGCUAGAGGUGAAAUUCUUGGACCGUCGCAAGACUGACUACUGCGAAAGCAUUUGCCGAGAAUGUUUCCAUUAAUCAAGAACGAAAGUUAGAGGAUCGAAGGCGAUCAGAUACCGCCCUAGUUCUAACCCUAAACUAUGCUAACUAGCGAUCCGUCGAAGUCAUUCCCACGACUCGACGGGAAGCCCCAGGGAAACCAAAGUCUUUGAGUUCCGGGGGAAGUAUGGUUGCAAAGCUGAAACUUAAAGGAAUUGACGGAAGGGCACCACCAGGAGUGGAGCCUGCGGCUUAAUUUGACUCAACACGGGAAACCUCACCAGGCCCGGACAUUAUUAGGAUUGACAGAUUGAGAGCUCUUUCUCGAUUUAAUGGGUGGUGGUGCAUGGCCGUUCUUAGUUGGUGGAGUGAUCUGUCUGGUUGAUUCCGAUAACGAACGAGACUCUCCCCUACUAAAUAGUCGUCGGAUCGUAACCCUUGAUGGGCGAGCCGAGGCGGACUUGAGGCUGUCUUGUUGUGGCGGUUGAUCGUCAGAGGUGGGAUUACUUGCGGGGUGGCAGGCUCUCGUGGUCUAUGCUAUUCUCCGGAGUCUUCUCGCUGAUGGCUCUUCCGUCGCUCUUGUGCUUUUCUCUUGGCUGUCGGAGCUAGCUUUACUGGGGGCGUCCGUCGCAAUAUAUCUUCUUAGAGGGAUCAGCGGCGUCUAGCCGCACGAGAAAGAGCAAUAACAGGUCUGUGAUGCCCUUAGAUGUUCUGGGCCGCACGCGCGCUACAAUGUAGGGCUCAGCGUGCCUUCCCUCUCCGAAAGGAGCGGGUAACCCGUUGAAACCCCUACCCGAUUGGGAUUGGGGAUUGCAAAUAUUUCCCAUAAACGAGGAAUUCCCAGUAAGCGCGAAUCAUGAAUUCGCGCUGAUUACGUCCCUGCCCUUUGUACACACCGCCCGUCGCUACUACCGAUUGAAUGAUUCAGUGAGGGCAUCGGACUGGCGCCUUCGUUGUUGAAAUACACACCCUAGGCUGACGGAAAGAUGUCCAAACUCGAUCAUUUAGAGGAAGUAAAAGUCGUAACAAGGUUUCCGUAGGUGAACCUGCGG
rnacentral:rRNA from 1 species